GACGAACGCUGGCGGCGUGCUUAACACAUGCAAGUCGAGCGGAGCGGCGAACGGGUGAGUAACGCGUGAGUAACUGCCCCCCUCUCUGGGAUAACAGUUGGAAACGGCUGCUAAUACCGGAUAGUGGGGGAUGACUCGCGUCCUAUCAGCUUGUUGGUGGGGUAGUGGCCUACCAAGGCGACGACGGGUAGCCGGCCUGAGAGGGCGACCGGCCACAUUAGGCUAAGAGACGGCCCAAAGUCGUACGUGGGGCAGGAGUGGGGAAUAUUGCGCAAUGGGGGAAAGCCUGAUGAGAAAGCGCCGGGGGCGGGAAGACGGCCUUCGGGUUGUAAAGCGGUUUCAGCCAUGACGCGGUAGUGGCAGAAGAAGCACCGGCUAACUACGUGCCAGCAGCCGCGGUAAUUC
rnacentral:rRNA from 1 species